rnacentral:rRNA from 1 species
GUAGGGAAUAUUGGACAAUGGGUGCGAGCCUGAUCCAGCCAUGCCGCGUGCAGGAAGACGGCCUUCUGGGUUGUAAACUGCUUUUGCCAGGGGAUAAAACGUCCAUGCGUGGAUAAUUGAAGGUACCUGGUGAAUAAGCCACGGCUAACUACGUGCCAGCAGCCGCGGUAAUACGUAGGUGGCAAGCGUUGUCCGGAUUUAUUGGGUUUAAAGGGUGCGUAGGUGGUUCCAUAAGUCAGUGGUGAAAUACGGCAGCUUAACUGUCGAGGUGCCAUUGAUACUGCGGAACUUGAGUACAGACGAGGUAGGCGGAAUUGACGGUGUAGCGGUGAAAUGCUUAGAUAUCGUCAAGAACACCGAUAGCGAAGGCAGCUUACUAGACUGUAACUGACACUGAGGCACGAAAGUGUGGGGAUCAAACAGGAUUAGAAACCCCAGUAGUCC